rnacentral:rRNA from 1 species
GAUGAACGCUAGCGGCAGGCCUAAUACAUGCAAGUCGAACGGUGUCUUCGGACAUAGUGGCGCACGGGUGCGUAACACGUAUGCAACCUACCUUACAUUGGGGGAUAGCCUUUCGAAAGGGAGAUUAAUACCGCAUAAGACAGUAACUAGGCAUCUAGUAGCUGUUAAAGAUUUAUCGAUGUAAGCUGGGCAUGCGUCCAAUUAGCUAGUUGGUGAGGUAACGGCUCACCAAGGCAAUGAUUGGUAGGGGAACUGAGAGGUCAAUCCCCCACACUGGGACUGAGAUACGGGCCAGACUCCUACGGGAGGCAGCAGUAGGGAAUAUUGGGCAAUGGACGCAAGUCCGACCCAGCCAUGCCGCGUGCAGGAUGAAGGCGUUAUGCGUUGUAAACUGCUUUUAUACAGGAAGAAACGACUCUUGCGAGAGGCAUUGACGGUACUGUAUGAAUAAGCACCGGCUAACUCCGUGCCAGCCGCCGCCGUAAGAC